rnacentral:ncRNA from 1 species
GGGACCUGAAGCAGGACGGCACUGCACCGGGACUGGGCGGGGCUCGCCGUUCACGCGGGCGCGGCCAAGCCCGGACCAGCGUCGGGACCUUCCUGUGGAAAGCCUCAGCUGCGCGGCGUCUGAGGGCUUCGUGCCCAAAGUGCUAUGCUUCGGCCGGCAAAAAACAGUCAACUCAGAACUGGCACGGACCGGGGGAAUCCGACUGUCUAAUUAAAACAAAGCAUUGCGAUGGCCGCUGGUCGGUGUUGACGCAAUGUGAUUUCUGCCCAGUGCUCUGAAUGUCAACGUGAAGAGAUUCAUCAAAGCGCGGGUAAACGGCGGGAGUAACUAUGACUCUCUUCUUUAUUGUCAUCAGUAGCCCCAGUGCUACUCGAUUGUUCAAUAAAGUAAUGUCUCGACGGCUCCU